UUAACUGCAGCCCUGAGUUUGCAGGAGUCAUAGAGAGAUGCAGGAACUUCUCUCUGCAGGAAGCAACUCCCCCUUUCGACUCCCUCCUGAACAGCAGCUCCCUCUGGGCCGGUGCCAGCGAGGGAGAGGUGGCAUCGGCUGUGACGCUCCUGCUGACGACGCUGGCCACUGCGCUCCGGUCUCCAGGGACGAAGACUCAGAACGGGAGGACAGGAUCUAUAGCUGAGGAGGCCGUGUGGCUCUCAGCUGCUGUGGGAUAGAAGAUUAUACAGUGCAUUCAAUACAGACACAGAACAGCACUGCCCCCUGCCCCAGGAAUUAUAAUCCAGCCCAGCCAGUGCCCUGAGGAGUUUCAGCAAAUACCAGAGGUUUUAAAUGCAGUAUUGCACCCUGCCCCUAGGGGCAGCCAUGCUGAGCCAGGCACUUCUCCCCCCAUUCUGCCUCCUCCCCAAACUCCACACUCCACCAGCUGGGUGAGUGCAAAGGGGAUGCAGAACCCCCAGGGAGACACAGCCAGAAUGUGGGGAAGGGAUACAGGGAGAUGGGCCAAGGGGAGGCAGAGAGGGGGAGCUCCAAACCAUCCCCUUCCCCAACAGGGAAGAACCCCAAAGACCUUCACACCCCAGGCAGAGUGGGAGAGGGGCAAGGAUCUGGACCAGAAUGGGCGGAUUCCCGGGGAAGUGGUUUCACAGUGGGAAGCUCUGUCACUUCCCCCCUCCCAGGUACUGAGACUUGGCUCGUCACAGGGAACUGCAGUGCGGACAGCGAGGCCGUCAGGCUGAGAGCUCAGGAGGAGACGAUGGACAUUCACUGUGAUACAGUCACCAUGGCAACUGCACAAGUCGCCCUGUAGGGGGUGGCGCAGAGGAGGGGAGCGCCCUGCAGGAAGCCCGG